rnacentral:rRNA from 1 species
CUGUCGCUGGGGAGAAAUUCAGCUUGGGGGAAAGCGCCGCGAAGUAUAAUUUUAAAUAAAGUAAAACAUUAUAAAAUAAUAAAAUAUUGAUUAUUAUUUAUAAGUGUAGUUAUUCUUUAACUUAUAAUUUGAUUAUAAUUUGAUUAGGUAUUUAACUGCUUUUUUUAUGUCUAAUUAGUUUCGACUAACCCAUCUGAGUAACAUCUCAAAAGUCAUAGCA